AAACGAAAGAAGUAGCUUACUAAAAGCAAAACACUGAAAAUGUUAAGACAGACAAAUCCAUCUCUCUUUCA
rnacentral:tRNA from 1 species